ensembl:snRNA U6 U6 spliceosomal RNA
GAGAUUAGCAUGGCCCCUGUGCAAGGAUGACAUGAAAAUUCAUGAAACGUUCCACAUUAAA